rnacentral:rRNA from 1 species
GACGAACGCUGGCGGCGUGCUUAACACAUGCAAGUCGAACGGAAAGGCCCUGCUUUUGUGGGGUGCUCGAGUGGCGAACGGGUGAGUAACACGUGAGUAACCUGCCCUUGACUUUGGGAUAACUUCAGGAAACUGGGGCUAAUACCGGAUAGGAGCUCCUGCUGCAUGGUGGGGGUUGGAAAGUUUCGGCGGUUGGGGAUGGACUCGCGGCUUAUCAGCUUGUUGGUGGGGUAGUGGCUUACCAAGGCUUUGACGGGUAGCCGGCCUGAGAGGGUGACCGGGCAAAAUGGGGACGGGGAACCGCCCAGGCCUCCACGGGGGGGAAGAGGUGGGAAAUAUUGACCAUGGGCGGGAGGCUGAAUGAGCAACGCCGGCGGCGGGAAGAACGCCUUUCGGGUGUAAACCGCUUUCGCCUGUGACGAAGCGUGAGUGACGGUAAUGGGUAAAGAAGCACCGGCUAACUACGU